rnacentral:rRNA from 1 species
UGGGGAAUCUUGCGCAAUGGGCGAAAGCCUGACGCAGCGACGCCGCGUGUGCGAUGAAGGCCUUCGGGUCGUAAAGCACUGUCGCCCGGGACAAAGAAAGUGAUGGUACCGGGAGAGGAAGCACCGGCUAACUCUGUGCCAGCAGCCGCGGUAAUACAGAGGGUGCGAGCGUUGUUCGGAAUUAUUGGGCGUAAAGCGCAUGUAGGUGGUCUUUUAAGCCGCGUGUGAAAGCUCCUGGCUCAACCAGGAAAGUGCGCGCGGGACUGGAGGACUUGAGUCCGGAAGAGGGUGGCGGAAUUCCCGGUGUAGAGGUGAAAUUCGUAGAUAUCGGGAGGAACACCAGAGGCGAAGGCGGCCACCUGGGACGAGACUGACACUGAGACGCGAAAGCGUGGGGAGCAAACAGG